rnacentral:rRNA from 1 species
GUCGCGUUGUUCGUGAAAUCUCACGGCUUAACUGUGAGCGUGCGGGCGAUACGGGCAGACUUGAGUACUGCAGGGGAGACUGGAAUUCCUGGUGUAGCGGUGGAAUGCGCAGAUAUCACGAGGAACACCGGUGGCGAACGCGGGUCUCUGGGCAGUAACUGACGCUGAGGAGCGAAAGCGUGGGGAGCGAACAGGAUUAGAUACCCUGGUAUUCCACGCCGUAUACGGUGGGUACUACGUGUGGGUACCCUGUCGUGGGAUCCCUUCCGUGGCGAUCCGUGCCGUACCUGACUCAUUAAUUACGCCGCCUGGGGAGUACGGCCGCUUGGGCUAGGACUCAAAGAAAUUGACGCGGGGCCCGCACAAGCGGCGGAGCAUGUGGAUUACUUCGAUGCAACGCGAAGAACCUUACCUGGGUUUGACAUGCACAGGACGCCGGCAGAGAUGUCGGUUCCCUUGUGGCCUGUGUGCAGGUGGUGCAUGGCUGUCGUCAGCUCGUGUCGUGAGAUGUUGGGUUAAGUCCCGCAACGAGCGCAACCUUGUCUCAUGUUGCCAGCGGG